rnacentral:rRNA from 1 species
UACGUAGGGUGCAAGCGUUAAUCGGAAUUACUGGGCGUAAAGCGUGCGCAGGCGGUUAUGUAAGACAGAUGUGAAAUGCCCGGGCUUAACCUGGGAACUGCAUUUGUGACUGCAUGGCUAGAGUUUGGCAGAGGGGGGUAGAAUUCCACGUGUAGCAGUGAAAUGCGUAGAUAUGUGGAGGAACACCGAUGGCGAAGGCAGGUCUCUGGGCAUUAACUGACGCUGAGGAGCGAAAGCAUGGGGAGCGAACAGG